rnacentral:lncRNA from 1 species
GAAUAUAAUCUUAUGGGGCAUUAUUGUAUUUUAUGUAGCCGCUAGCUAGCUAGUCAGAAAAUACUUUUUUGAACAUUUCGCAGGAUAUGUUGUAGACGGCAAAAGUAGCUGUGGGUGCUACAGUAGCGCCUGAAUCAGGACGUUGACAUGUAAAAAAAAAUAUAUAUAUCCAUUCUGGGAACAAGUAAAUUCAUAGCCAACUCAACCCUCUUCAGUCCAGGCUAAAUUAACCACGCGUUUACCUUCCUUCAUGCCACAUGACACACACCUAGCCAGCUAAGAUUACAUUUUGCCAUUAGUUUACACAGUGGCAAGAUGUAGUAGGUACCAAAUAAUAGAUUUCAUUUCACUAACAAUUUGUUUUUGCACAGGAUUGUGGCGAUUGCAUACUGCUACUGCCUUAAAUGGAACCACUUAAUUUCCAUCCAGGGAAGGGGGACCGAGAUUACUAGGUUUUAAUUAUAUUUUGCACGAUAUACCCCUCCCCACGCACACAUACCUGAACACUUGAAAAGCAGUUGAAACAGAACAGAGAUAGUGGUUCGCAUUUUUCUACUAUGGUUAUACUCUGUCAUCACACGUUGACUUGCUCCCAGACAAUGAGACAGGUUGGCACAACACCACCGGUGUAAUGCACUGUAUCAAAUUACAGACCAUGACAAAAGGUGCAGGAACUCCACAAUACUUCUGAGCUAAUAUUCUGCUGUGCAUCACAACAAGUAGAUCAUUUGAUGUGUCAAUACUCAGUGCCGAUCAGGCAGAUCUUCAAGCAGUGUGCCCCAGCAGACGUCGCAGUUGUGCCCUGGUUAACACCCCCUCACUGUGUGCCAACAAAGCUGUUUGCCAUAUUCAGGAGCUGAAGAGGCAACUGGAGAACUGGUGUCAACAGGUAAGAUGCUGAUGUCAUAGUGUGAUCAUGCAAGAGAUAGAGAACUAUGGGGCAAAUAUCAGUGAUAUUAACAAAUGAUCCAAUCUAUCUAGAAAUACUGUAAGGUUGGAUGCAUUUCUGUAAUUUGUCCUGUCCCCUCUAUCAGUCAGGAAAUGUUCAGCAUCAGAUGUCUCAUGAAAAACAGAAAAAUAGCAAAACUUUUAGAUUUCAUUCCAGUGAAUCCAAGUCUUCAAUUAUGUCUCCUGAGUUAUACAUUGAAGACAUUGGGCUAAGUGCAAGAACCGAAAGAAAAGGUGGCCUGUUGUCUCCGCUGUGUAAGGAAACUACAAAGUUGGUGUAUCUGAUUGAACAUCUAGAAGCUGAUCGCCAGGAUGCAGAGGAAGCACUACAAACAGAGAAGAAGAGGAGGUUGUAG